UACGUAGGUGGCAAGCGUUGUCCGGAUUUAUUGGGUUUAAAGGGUGCGUAGGUGGUUUUUUAAGUCAGUGGUGAAAUACUUCAGCUUAACUGGAGAGGUGCCAUUGAUACUGGAGAACUUGAGUGGAGACGAGGUAGGCGGAAUUGACGGUGUAGCGGUGAAAUGCAUAGAUAUCGUCAAGAACACCGAUAGCGAAGGCAGCUUACUAGGCUCCAACUGACGCUGAUGCACGAAAGUGUGGGGAUCAAACAGG
rnacentral:rRNA from 1 species